AGGUAGGGAGGAAGGUAGUGUAGUUAACACCUGCAUUAUUUGACGUUACCUACAGAAGAAGCACCGGCUAACUCCGUGCCAGCAGCCGCGGUAAUACGGAGGGUGCGAGCGUUAAUCGGAAUUACUGGGCGUAAAAGCGCAUGCAGGCGGCCUGUUAAGUCAGAUGUGAAAAGCCCGGGCUUAAACCUCGGAAAUUGCAUUUGAAAACUGGCAGGCUAGAGUCUUGUAGAGGGGGUAGAAUUUCAGGUGUAGCGGUGAAAAUGCGUAGAGAUCUGAAGGAAUACCAGUGGCGAAGGCGGCCCCUGGACAAAGACUGACGCUCAGAUGCGAAAGCGUGGGGAGCAAACAGGAUUAGAUACCCUGGUAG
rnacentral:rRNA from 1 species